rnacentral:rRNA from 1 species
AGUGAACGCUGGCGGCAGGCCUAAUACAUGCAAGUCGAACGGCAGCACAGUGGAGCUUGCUCCAUGGGUGGCGAGUGGCGGACGGGUGAGGAAUACAUGGGAAUCUGCCCAGUCGUGGGGGAUAACGUAUGGAAACGUACGCUAAUACCGCAUGCGCCCUAAGGGGGAAAGCCGGGGACCGCAAGGCCUGGCGCGAUUGGAUGAGCCCAUGUUCGAUUAGCUAGUUGGCGGGGUAAAGGCCCACCAAGGCGACGAUCGAUAGCUGGUCUGAGAGGAUGAUCAGCCACACUGGAACUGAGACACGGUCCAGACUCCUACGGGAGGCAGCAGUAGGGAAUAUUGGACAAUGGGGGCAACCCUGAUCCAGCCAUGCCGCGUGAGUGAAGAAGGCCCUCGGGUUGUAAAGCUCUUUUGUCCGGAAAGAAAAGCAAUCGGUUAAUACCCGGUUGUCUGACGGUACCGGAAGAAUAAGCACCGGCUAACUUCGUGCCAGC